rnacentral:sRNA from 14 species
GUAAGUAAUCCUCCUAGCCAAAGCCUAGGGAAUUCCCGGUAAUCUCCGGGAUUGCCAACUAGGAUGCAGACUCAGGUGCGAUUCCUAGGUUGGUUUGGUUAUGACACCCAGAGGUGAACUCCAGCUUCUGGCUCUGUC